rnacentral:misc_RNA from 1 species
GGACGGCACAAAAGUCAGUGAGAAACCCACCACCACAUUCAAUCUUCUCUUUACAACAAAUUCACCACUCUUUCUACCCUUCUCUGCAGAUUUAAACUAGAGAAUUUCUCAUCAAUCAAUCGAUAAACCCCACCAGAAAAAUAUCUGAUUCAGAUCAAUCAUGGGUUCUCUCAAUUCACAGCCACCAUCCGAGGUUUGAUUUGAUAUCUCGGAGCAUUUUUAUCUCUCAUUGAAUUCAAAAUCCUUUCUGGGUUUGCCUCUGAUUUGUGUUUUCAAUCGAUGGCCACUGUUUAGGAUCUGCUGAUUUACAUGCUAUAAAAUCGUGAUAUAGUUUACUGGGUACUGGCUAUUUCUAGGGUUUUCACAUUCGAGUUGCUGCAAAAUUGAUCUUGCUGCUUUAUUCUGAUGCAUCAAAUUCUAUCUGAUCAAUUAUCAAAGGCUAUAUAUAUAUAAAACCAGAGAGAGAGAUUGCAGAAUCAAUAGAAUUUAGCUGUCUUUCUUGUAAGGAAGAAAGAUGCAAUCUAGAAGGCAAGGUGAUGAUUACGUGACACUAUCUCCAUCCUCAAAGCCACGUAAUCAACAUAGAUAUGAAGUAGGACACGACUCGUAUUCAGUGUCCCGUCGAGAUGCCCUGGAUCGGUCUCCUCGCGUGCAGAGGAGUUUGAGUCCGCACAGUAAGAUUGAUGGGUCUAGAAGGAUAUUACUAAGGGAAGGAAGAAGUGGUUCAAAUGAAAGGAGGGAAUAUGGUUGGCAUUUGGGUGCUGGAAGGUCUGACGAUGUCUGCUCAGGUUCACCUCCUUUUCCACAAGAGCACAGAAAGCCUCAGUUUGAUGAGGGUGUUGUGCAUAGGAAAUAUGAGUAUGCUGAUGAUAUCAAUUAUGAAGAUGGUAAAAGUAAUAGACUAAAGCAUGUUUAUGGGUAUGAUCAUCAUGCUGCAUCUUCUAGAAUUAGUAAAGAGAAGGAUUAUAGCGAAAACAGGUUUCCUGGUAAUGAUAGGCAUGUGACAAUAGGGCAAAACUCGAUGCCCAUGGAAGAUGGAAUUAUAAGAGGGUUGCGUCGAGCACCUCCAGAUUUCAUUCCUCCCCCAAGUUAUGGGAAAACUAGUGAGCAUCUACAGUUGCCAUCCCGCCACAUGGAUAUCAGCCAGUUUGAGAAUGAGAAACUUAGGUAUAGGGAGCCUAUAUCUCCAGAUAAGAUACCAGUAAUGGAAUUAUACAAAGGGGAAAACCCUGUGUUUUGCUCAAGGGAGGAUUCAUACACCAUGAACCCAUCUCCUCGCUUUAAGGGUUUUGGUAGCUCUCAAUCCAAAGAUUUUGCUGGCACAUCUUCAGGUGUUUCAAGGAGUGAGUUUCUGAGUUCUUUCAGGGAUUGUGUGCCCCUGUCUGCUUCUGAUGAAUAUCCAAGGAACAGCAUGAAACUCACAGAACCCUUGGAUUUAAGCACAUAUGGUCAAAGGUCAGCCGUAGAUUUAAGAAAUGUGGAAACUGGUAAGAGAAUUAUGACAAGUUUUCCGCAUGGUGUGUAUAGCCCAAACAGAAAAGAACAUGAUGAUUACCUUUACCCUAAAUCACAGGGAUUAGUGAAUGAAGAUGUGGUCUAUCCAUCUGAUGAAUUGCAUAGAAUGAUGCCACCACGUGCUCAGUUGGAUCAUGACGUAGCUCGAGCAGAUUUUGAGUAUGGAGAAUUGUCAAGAAUGAGUGUUAUGCACCCCAUUGAAGAAAACAUUGAUCCAACGCAGGAUUUUUACAGAAACAGAAGAAAUAACACCACAUGGGACCAUACUGUAGGCAAGCAGGCCGCCAUGGAGGACCUUAACUCAAGUAGAAUAUCAUAUGCACCAAAGCAUAGUGGGGAAUAUUUGGGUUCUGAAUAUUCUCGAGUUGAAUUUGGAAGGAGAGUCUCACGAGAUAAUGAGACAUCUCAUUUGGGCGUCACACAGGAUCAACAAACCUCACAUUUGAGAUCAAAUUAUGGGUUUGGAAGAGAUGCAGGUCCGCAGUUUGAAAAAGAUAGAUUACGUGAUCCAGUUAUGCCUAUGUAUGACUUGGAGAUGCAGAAAUUUUCUAUCAAAAGGCAGAGAAUGGAAGAUUUUCCCAUAUACAAGCCAUCUGAUAAACUGCUCAAAAGAAAUUACAGUGUGGAUGAUGAUUUAAAUUGUUGUGAUCCAAGAGGUAUUGUGUCAAGGAAACGGUAUGCACAGCUAGAGUGUAAGGAUGUUUAUGACAGUGGUGAGGAAUGGAUCGAGGAAAAUCCAAGUGCUUUAUACAGGACUCAGAGGUUUGACCACAAUGCGUGCAGAAAAGUUAAGAGAGAGUAUGAUGGGCAAGACCGUUAUGGAGAUUUUGCAUCUGAAGACUGGUUGUCUUCUCAAGAUUCUUUGGUACAUUCACAAAAGCAUUCUAAUAGACAUUAUAAGCCUAGUGUUAAAUAUAUGAAGGGUCAUCCAAGAUCUGGUUCUUCAAGCUGGUAUAACUCACACCAGCCUGAUAAAAGAAGUGGAAUUCACAUAAAGCACAAAACUUGGAAAAGAAAUGAAGAUUAUGACGAUAAUGAGCAGGUGAAUGAUGAUGAUCCAUCUGAAGGUUGGGUGAAUAUGGCAGACACUGAGCAAUGUGAGGAUUCUGAGGAAUUUAAGCAACUGGUUCAUGAAGCCUUUUUAGAUUAUUCUAAGAAAUUGAAUUUGAGCUUGGCGGUUCGAAGAAGAUACAAGGAGCAAGGAAAAGCUGGUAGUUUGUUCUGCAUUGUAUGUGGCAGAAGGUCUGUUUUCUUUCCCGUGUAUGCUUUUUAUGUGGAACACAUUUCAUAUUUUGAUUCAGGAGUUCCUAUUUAUACUCUUACAGCAGCAGACAGUUGAGCAAUUAUCAACUUAGAAAAUUUCUUUGUUGUGUUCCAUAUGGGAUUCUAUUAUAGCUACCUGUAUUGGUGGAUUUCAUGGUGGCUUGUUCUGGUAUGAAUCAUGCAAGGUGGAGCAAGAGCUUUUGGUGAACUCCAACUUCCAGAUAAAUAACAUAUGGAUGCAGAACUUUCAAGUGGUUUUAUUACAUAAAAUAUGCUUCAAUUGGCCUAUAUGAUUUUGUUAUCCAUCUUCUAUUGUAGCGUUUGUGUGUAAAUUUAACUGUCACUUGGUGAAAGGUUGUUGAUCAUGUGAUAUGGGUUUGCCAGUCUCAAACUUCUUGUAGGAAUGGAUAAUUAUAUAUAGAUGUCGUGGAGCAAGUUAAUCUAUUGGAAUGUAGGAGUUAGUUUAACCAACUGCAUUGCAACUAGGUCCCUUAUUUUUCAUGAAUAUCAUGUAGUAAACCAAGGAGAUCUUUUGAAAGUUGGGUAUCUCUGAGAUAUCCACCUUGUGUGGGUUAACUGUUGUGGUUUUUAUGAGUAGAUGGAGCCUAUGAUGGUGUUUUGAGUUUCAUAACAUUUCACAUGCGCAAUGAACUACUUACCGGAAUAUAUUAUAGCUAGUACAUUUUUGUUGCUGGGAUGUCAUUAUGCAGCUGGAAAGGCAAAGGACAAAAGUGGGGUGGGUCUAGUACACAAUGGGACUAUUGUUGUGGACAGGUCAGAAAGCUAAGAUUAAGGUUGCAGAUUCAUCUAAGAUAUUGCAAUGAAUGCAGAAGUUGAAUUUGAUUCUCUUUUCUUUUUUUUGUUUUGGAAUGCUAGUGUUUUUCAACAUGGUGUGAUCAUUUAUUUAUAUUAUAUGUACUUAGAGCCUCUAAUACUUUCAAUAGUGAAAAACCAAUAGUGCUUUUAAAAGCUUCCUUAUUUAUGUUUGUGGAUGGAUGUAGUGGUUGUUUUUCAAUUUCCUUUUAGUGUUGCUAUUAUUAUAGUUUCCGCUCCAGUUUUGAACAUUUGUAUGGUUGUAUUUUUACAGCUCAUCAAAGGAUUUCAUGGACACUCAACGCUUGGUAACUCAUGCUUUCAUGUCUCACAAGGUUGGAUUGAGAGCACAACACCUGGGUCUUCAUAAAGCAAUAUGCAUUUUGAUGGGGUGGAACACUUAUGUGCCUUGCGACAUGAGAACUUGGGUUCCAGAUGUCUUGCCUGAGGCAGAAGCUUGGGCUCAGAAGGAGGAUUUGAUGAUAUGGCCUCCACUUGUUAUCAUUCACAACAUUUCUAUGUCAAAUGUGAAUCCAGAACAACAGAAGGUCAUACCUAUUGAAGGGGUUGAAGCUUUUCUUAGAGGUGAGUAGCAACUUUUUUUUUUUUUGGUAUUCAGGAAAUUCAGGUGAGUUACAACUUCAACUAUUUAUUACAAUUGUGCCAUAAUUCAUAUUUGAGCGGCAUGUGAAAGUACACAUUCUUUCUGUUUAGGAAAAAUAUUUUAAACUUGUCAUUGAACAUGUUGGGAAAAUAAAAAGCAUAUAUCAUUUGAAAUCUUUGUUCUGUUUUUGAUUCUGUGGCAAUAUCUUAGGAUGCUUAAAUUUGAAAUAUGUGAACUGUUGGGAUCUCAACUACUAGGUGGACGGAAUUUUUUUCUCUGGCGCUCAUACAUUAAUCUAUGGUUUCUCUGAAUGAUGAUAGGUAAAGGUUUUGUUGGGGGAAAAAUCAAGGUAUGCCUAGGUAAGCCUGCUGACCAAAGUGUUAUAUUGAUAAAGUUUUUGGGCACAUUCACUGGACUUGGAAAUGCAGAGAGACUUCAUAAAUAUUUUGCUGAGAAUAAACAUGGGAGAGAAGAAUUUGAGCAAAAAACAUCCAACGCCAUUAAAAGCAGCAAUGGCUUUGAAGCAGAUUUGCAGGGAGACAAGUUGGAGGAGCGUCUUCUAUAUGGGUACAUGGGAAUUGCAGAUGACUUGGACAAACUCGACUUCAACACCAAGAAGUGGAUUUUGGUGAAGAGCAGGAAGGAUAUCCAAGAUCUGGAGAAUGCUCCUGUUAAAACUGAUGAUAGGUAGCAAUCUCAAUGGUGCAUUUAUAGGAGGAGGGCUCUGCCCUGCUCCACCUAGUCACUGAAAUUUCCAAGGAUCCCCGAUUCAACUUUCUUCAGGUUGGAUUCCUUGCUCUUCCUGCCAUUGGUAAGUACUAACAUGUUAUCAUGGAAGUAAUACAUGUUAUGGAUAAAAGAAGACUGGGGGGAAAAACAAUUGGUGGUUAAGCUGAAAAUUGUGUAAAAGUUUGCUUUAUCGUUUUUCCACUUGGCAUUUGAUAGCCGGAUACUUCUUCAAGUUAUGUACACAUAUCUAAUUUCUAAAGAUCUCUUUUAUGGGUAGAUUUGUGCAGUUGGUUGGUUUGGUUUUCUUUCGAAUCAAAUUGUAAAAAUAGAAAAACAAAAUAUAUUAUGC